CCUACGGGUGGCAGCAGUAGGGAAUAUUGCUCAAUGGGGGAAACCCUGAAGCAGCAACGCCGCGUGGAGGAUGAAGGUUUUCGGAUUGUAAACUCCUUUUGUUAGAGAAGAGAAUGACGGUAGCUAACGAAUAAGCACCGGCUAACUCCGUGCCAGCAGCCGCGGUAAUACGGAGGGUGCAAGCGUUCCUCGGAAUCACUGGGCGGAAAGAGCGCGUAGGCGGGAUAGCAAGUCAGAUUUGAAAUCCUAUGGCUGAACCAUAGAACUGCAUUUGAAACGGGUAUUCUAGAGUAUGGGAGAGGUAGGUUGAAUUCUUGGUGUAGUGGUCAAAUCCGUCGAGCU
rnacentral:rRNA from 1 species